rnacentral:rRNA from 1 species
AUUGAACGCUGGCGGCAUGCUUUACACAUGCAAGUCGAACGGCAGCGCGGGCUUCGGCCUGGCGGCGAGUGGCGAACGGGUGAGUAAUGCAUCGGAACGUGCCCAGUAUUGGGGGAUAACCCGGCGAAAGCCGGGUUAAUACCGCAUACGACCUGAGGGUGAAAGCGGGGGACCGAAAGGCCUCGCGCGAUUUGAGCGGCCGAUGUCGGAUUAGCUAGUUGGUGGGGUAAAGGCUUACCAAGGCGACGAUCCGUAGAUGGUCUGAGAGGACGACCAGCCACAAUGGGACUGAGACACGGCCCAGGGGCCUACGGGAGGCAGCAGUGGGGAACUUUGGACAAUGGGGGCAAACCUGACACAGCCAUGCCGAGUGUGGGAAGAAGGCCUUCGGGGUGUAAACAGCUUUUGCUCGGGAAGAAACACUUUGGGCUAAUACCAAGGGGGGAUGACGGUAACGGAAGAAUAAGCACCGGCUAACUACGUG